rnacentral:rRNA from 1 species
UACGGAGGAUGCAAGCGUUAUCCGGAAUUAUUGGGCGUAAAGCGUCCGCAGGUGGCAAUGUAAGUCUGCUGUCAAAGCUUCUGGCUCAACCAGAUAAAGGCAGUGGAAACUACAUAGCUAGAGUAAGGUAGGGGUAGAGGGAAUUCCUGGUGUAGCGGUGAAAUGCGCAGAUAUCAGGAGGAACACCGGUGGCGAAGGCGGGGCGCUGGGCCGGAACUGACGCUGAGGAGCGAAAGCGUGGGGAGCGAACAGG